GACGAACGCUGGCGGCGUGCUUAACACAUGCAAGUCGAACGGAAAGGCCUCUUUCGGGGGGUACUCGAGUGGCGAACGGGUGAGUAACACGUGAGUAACCUGCCCUUGACUUUGGGAUAACUUCAGGAAACUGGGGCUAAUACCGGAUAGGAGCUCCUGCUGCAUGGUGGGGGUUGGAAAGUUUCGGCGGUUGGGGAUGGACUCGCGGCUUAUCAGCUUGUUGGUGGGGUGGUGGCUUACCAAGGCUUUGACGGGUAGCCGGCCUGAGAGGGUGACCGGCCACAUUGGGACUGAGAUACGGCCCAGACUCCUACGGGAGGCAGCAGUGGGGAAGAUUGCACAAUGGGUGGAAGCCUGAUGCAGCAACGCCGUGUGCGGGAUGACGGCCUUCGGGUUGUAAACCGCUUUCGCUCAUGACGAAGCUUUGUGUGACGGUAGUGGGUAAAGAAGCACCGGCUAACUACGUG
rnacentral:rRNA from 1 species